rnacentral:misc_RNA from 1 species
CAAAACAAAUGAAACGUUCGCUGCAUAUUAAGCAUCUAAUUUAAUUUGCCAGAGCGCAAAACCAAAAAGGAAACUGAAGCCGGGAAAAAGAAGUGGAUAAGUCAACCCCCGGGACGACCAGUGGGUGGUGGGAUAUGGGUGGGUGGCUUUGAUUUUGGACUGGCUUAAAUGCUUCAUAAUGAAAAUCUGUGAUAUCUUGCGGUACGGCUUUGAUUUUUCCCUUCUGUUUGCCGUCACUCAAGUGGUUGAUGUUGAUUGUUUGUCAAUAGAGGACGGGGACUCAGGGAUUCGACGACAAGUCCGUUCCUUUGGGGGAGUGGCAUUGGGAUUACAACUUUGGAGUGCCGGGCACGUUCCAAGAAGUUAUUAGUGACCGUGCCUAAGCCUUUGAUUGCCCAGCCCUUAUACAUACAUACCUCUCUCUAUAUCCCCCCUUUUUCUGUGGCCAAAUCCAUCCUAAUUUGCUCAAGCCAUUACAUUUAAAUGUGCGGAUAUCUCGGACUCGGAUUGGUCCGCCCUGGCCGCAGUAUCUUCCUAUGGUUGGGUGGCUACGACAUGGUGUCUAAGCCACGCCACUGUGCUUUAAAUGCUUAACAGUGAUUAGAUAGAUCUUCGAACAACCUGGAGGACACUGUGUUCACCCAAGUGGGCACCUUCCUUGCCGCGACACCACCACCACCACCCACACCGGCGUGACAAGGCAGGCUUCGCUUUCCGCGCCUUUGCAUGCGACAAGUUUGUCACUGUGAUUUAUGCCUGAGAGGAGAGGGUUACACCACCGAACCGUGGGUGGGGUCGAUGAAUAGUCAAAAAAGCGGGUACACACGUCCGUGCCAGUGGAGAACAAGGGGCGGCAGUCAAAAAGACAGCCGAGCAGAGGAAGCUGAGCCAGUCGGGCGCUGGCAGGCGUCAACAGGAUGCGGAGGACGAAGGAAGGGGUGGAUCGGCGUCGGAUGGCGACUGGCGGGUGGCGGAGGAGAAAACGGAUGAGCAGGCGAAGGAGCGAACGGCGGAGGGUUGCGAUUACAGUGUCAUUGGCAGCGUCGACGGCGUCACUUUGCGCACUGCCAAGUGCAGCCACCAGAACCGAAUCCAAUAUCCAAAUCAGAGCCACACCACCCAGCCAACGAAACGGGGAAAGAAACGACGAGCAGGGCACGGGCGAAUCCACGCCCAACAGCUACAAUUGAAAAUUUUAUUUCAUUUUUAUGGCUUUUGGAAAUUAAAUUGUUGUCAUCGCAUACAAAAUUAACCAGAGCAGCGGGAUUUGCAUAGCCAGCCAAGAGGUGUGACCUCUAACCCCCACCAUCCACCCACCAUCCACCAUCUACCAACUGGCACCCAACAACCACACGACACAGUCACCGAUGUUAUUGUUAUAGCCGCUGUAUCUCACCCGCUGGGCCUGCGGUCUUUAACAUUUAGCAAAACAUUUGAUUGCCAUCAGGAUAAUCCCGAGGGGAUGUCCCAGGACGCGAGGAUGUGGGCUGCCAGGAGCUGUUUGAUUGCCCGGGAGGAGUAUCACAUCUCCAUAAAGCUCACAAAGCCCGAGGCCUUAAAUAAAUGUUUAUUUUAAGCAAUAUAGUCAGGCAUUAAAAUGCAAAACUUAAAGACUGUCAAAGAACUUUAACAAACGGGCUCGAGCCAAAGUCAGGAGUAAAUAAGGCCUGGAAAAAGCUAGGAGAAGGUACUUCGAUGGUCAGCAGCCAAAGUAAAAUCUUAGAUUUCCAACUUUAAGCUUCCCGGCAGCCGGAGUCAAUUUGCAAUUAGAUGUUAUCCAAAAGCAAACGGACACCCAGGAUACGGGGAUUUGAACAAGGUCCCGCAUAAAAAACUAAACACGCAGCAAUCAAUCGAUUAAAAAAGGGCAAAGGAGGAAAAGUUUUGAGCCGGCGGUGGGCGGUGGCACAGACCAGACUAGACGCGGCGGUGGACACCACCUAUGGUGUCCAGGUCGAGGUCCUGCCGGAAGGACACCCCAGGGACCCGCAGGCAGCUCAAGGAAGUCGCCUGGCUGGCUUUCGUCUAAUGCGCCGCUUAUCUUGAUAUUAUUUGGCCAUAAAAAAGGACACGGACACAUGUUCGAGAAGGAGCACGGAUAACACUGGAAGAAAUGUUCCACACCUUCCGAAUCGGGGCAGUGAAUAAAAGAGAUCCACGCAGUGCUCUUUUGGCUUACUGAUUAAUAUAAUAUAAUAUAACCGAGACACCGAGAUGUCCUUAAAAUCUUUGACAUUUUGCACCCAUUUUUCGGCUGUAACCCAAUCCUCCAGCCAAGUCAGUGUGCUCCUAAGGGCAAGGAAAAUUGCAACAUUUCACAUGUCACAACGAGGGCGAUUUCCCUACCCCAAAUAAAAUGGACCAUGUCGAAUCCUGCGGGUUCCGUUGAUUUCCUCGCCCGAAAAAAAUCCAACCACGCGCGUUUCAAAUCCCUUUAGUUACACUGUUUCAAAAUUAAAUAUUUACAUUUUGUAUGCGGAGGCGGAUGCGGCGGGCAUGAGGCCUGAAUCUCGAUUCACAUGUGGGUGUUUUGGCCGGAAUGGUGGUAUCUAGCAACUGGAUACACUGGCCAUCUAAUCGGUGGUGGCUGCCACUCCGUCAGCUGGCCGUGAGCACUUGUCGUGGACAGAGGCGCAGCUGGUCAAGGGGACUACCCGAUGCUGGACCCCACCGAGGGACGCCCCUGGCAGUCGCAUAUGAGCUCAGAUCAUCAAUUCCCCGUUGGCCGGAUGGGGUGGUGGCCACCAUGCAGUUUCCGAUGCGCGUUUAUUUAGUAAUUUGUUUGUCUCCCGACUUAGUCACGGUUUAUGGUUGACAUUUAUUUUAUGAGCGUGAAAAAUAUAUCACUCGCCAGUGGCAGCCACGCCACCCACCGCGGGAUUCCAGGCGGGGUGCAGGCAGGUGGCUGCACCACCCACUCCACCCACUUGCGCCACUUAAGCCAAUUUUGAUAGCGGCUUAUUGAUGGUCGAGCGACUGGCGAUUUGUGCAUUGGUCUCGCUCCAACUUGCUGAUUGAAUCAGUGCGGAAGUGGGACGAGGACGAGAUCGAUGGGCAGUUCGUGGUCGUACGUACAAGCUGUACUCCUGGUCAGGCGAGUCGGAUCUUAAUGGCUAUGGUAGUUCGAGCACUUGAUAUAUGGAAAUGCCGGAUCGACAAGAUGAGCCGCCAGCGACAGAUGAGAGGAAAUGUCGUCUGAAUUUCUCUACGUUUGGCACUUCCUUUGGCGAGUAUUGUUAACCGCUGCUAAGCCCAUCAAUUAUGCCGGGAGGCAUCCCAUCCUUACAAACUUAUUGGCCUAUAAACUAAUCGCAUAAUUGCACAAAAGUAAUUAUCCUUGGGCUGAGCCUCGGCUAGCUCAUUGUGCAGCAACUAUGCGGCACAUCCUACAUCCUGCAUCCUGAGGCCCCAGUGCUUAGGCCUCAUCCCCUGGCGCUCUGAUUUUUCCACCUUGCUGGCCAACUAUGCGGCUCAUCCGCUCCGCUGAACGCCGCCAGAAGGAAGUGCCGUACAGGACCCAAAUCGCAGGACGCAGACUGCGGAAUGCAGGACUCAGAUCGCUGCAAAGCAGUUGAAAAAACACAACGGGCCAAACAACAAAAACAAACACAAGGACAUCUCUUUGUUUGCGGAAAGCGAAAGAGAGGCGAAAUUAAAAUCAAGCUGUUGAUAGCAAUCACACACUCCUGGCUGCCUGAAAUGAAUAAGUCGAGGUGAUGCUGGUGCAUAACACUCCUCAAUAAGCGGACACCUUGUUGGAUUUUUAAGGAGACCACAAUAUGGUGCACCUGCACUUCGCGCAGUGGUCAUGUCCUGGCUGUCGUCUCUACAAUUCCGAUGACGUUGCCAAGAGAGUGGGAUGCAUGCAUCACUAGCCGUCACAUGGCCAACUGCUUGGCUUCCUGCUUUCGACCAAUCUGCGACUGUCAUCCGUCAUUCCAUUUACUGGAUGCUUGCCAUUUCUGUGGCUCCCGAAUCUCCGCCUCUUCAUCUGCAUCUCCUCAAAACAAGGCAAAGUAGGGUAAAUUGAUGUAGUUGGGGUUGACAUCCUCAAGUGGCCCAGUGGCAUUGUUCGACGAUUUGCGUUUGUCGAGCGCGCAGUAAUUAAGUUGAAGUUGCACAGCAGAUCCCCGAUAAGCAUAGGGAUCAGGAUACGGCCACGGUGGUUAGGGAUAAUCCCCCAGAUUAAAAGGAUACGGGCCCCGAUCUUUUGUGCCUCCUUUGAGCAUCAAUCGGGCCAAUUGGAUUGACAUUAUCGGAUCGCAGGAAGAGGAUCUGCUUGGAAAUAAUUGUGACCCACGAUGGAACCAUGUCAUCUCUGGCUGGCUAAAUGGCUCUACGCAACUGCAACUCUUUCGUUGCCCCAAAUUGGCCUUGAGGCAAUGAUUGGCUGCCGCUGCUGCCCAGAUGCCGGCACCACCCUCCUCUCCCGAUGGACCACCCCCUGGGCCACCACAAAGUUCCCAGUCCCCCCUUUUUGCGUUUCUUUCGCACUGAUCUCAGCUGUCGUCGCUUGUUAGUGCGCACGCGUGUCUUUCUCUCUCUAAGAAGCAGACAGCGCGUGUGUUCCCCUCUCCAUCGCACUCAACGCCCGCCCAGUCACGUCCUCUCACUCACUCCGCCAGCUCUCCCACUCGCACCCAUCACGAUCGUGAGGCGUUGAUGGCGAUGGCGCUGAAGCUGGCGCGCAUGUGCAACGCAGCCACAAAAUCGCAAUUGCCGGGACCGAAAACCAAAAUGAAAAAAGUACGGAAAAAGGAGCAACCAAAAGCUUGAGCUGGCACAACGUUGUAAGACAUAGUUUGUUGCCAGAGCCCCUCCCCCCCACCACCGCACCGCUGUGCCCCUGUGCUUGUGUGUGGGGGACCUCCCGCAGAUAAUUGCCCAUCAUCUCAUCAAGUUCCGCCCAGCUAUUUAACAACCGAGGAGCAGGAGCUGCAGGAGGAGGUUCGGGGCCCCGAGAGCAAUGAAACCCACAAAACAAGACACCAAAAUGAUGAACGCGACCACGCAAAGUAGAAGUAGCUGCCCGAUCUGGGAGUCGAGGAAGGAGUCUGGCUCCAGACCAUACAAUCCCGAGGGCCGCUACGUUCAGGAACUUCUCAAGCGCCCUUGGGCUGGCGCCACCAACAUUGAGCAGCAGCUUGGGGCGGCGGCUGCAGAUCGGCUCCAAAUCGCAGCAGUCCAGGUUGCAGCUCCACUCCAACCACAGGCAUCAAUAGCACCACCGACGACGAAAAAGCAGGAGGAGACCAAGAAGAUCCAAGCAUGUUAAUCGAGUCAUAUCGAUUUUGGCGUGGUUCGUGUCUCGGACGUUUUGCCCAACCGCCGUCCUUCGCCCCCCAAAAAGGGGGAGGGGCCGAUCCCAUCAGCGAACUCGUAACUAAAUUGAAUCCAAUUGCAGACGAGUCGGGCCAAAUAACUGUGAGACAUAAUGAAUGAGUGUUGGCCAAAUUGCAACUUGGCUUGCCAGCCGGGCAGUUAAGGGUUAAUGGAUGGGCACCAAGGGAUUGUUUGCAGGGGGUUCAGGGGGUGGUGCUGCUCUGCAUCUUCCAGUUUAUGGCCCAGCCACUAAUAUCUCAAUUGGCCAGCGGAAGGUUCGAUUAACUGCACCAUUGGGCCACCCACCUGGGGCAUCUGUGCUUGGACAUCUGCAUGAAUGCAUCCAUAGGCGAAAUGAAGCAUUCUUUCUAAAAGAGUGUACAGUAUUUCUACUGCACAGUUUAUAUGAAUGAUUUAGAGGACAUUCUGAUUCUCCAUCAUCAACGACGAGGUUCUUCACGACAAGGACGACGAGGACGACAAGGACGACGAGGACGAAGAGGACGACGAGGACGAAGAGGACGACAAGGAUUGUGGCUAGCGAAUAACUGACCCCAGUGAUUGUAGCAUAGAGCGUAUA